rnacentral:rRNA from 1 species
GACGAACGCUGGCGGCGUGCUUAACACAUGCAAGUCGAACGGUAAGGCUCCAGCUUGCUGGGGUACACGAGUGGCGAACGGGUGGGUAACACGUGGGUGACCUGCCCUGCACUUCGGGAUAAGCCUGGGAAACUGGGUCUAAUACCGGAUAGGACCAUGGUGUGGAUACUGUGGUGGAAAGUUUUUUCGGUGUGGGAUGGGCCCGCGGCCUAUCAGCUUGUUGGUGGGGUAAUGACCUACCAAGGCGGCGACGGGUAGCCGGCCUGAGAGGGUGGACGGCCACAUUGGGACUGAGACACGGCCCAGACUCCUACGGGAGGCAGCAGUGGGGAAUAUUGCACAAUGGGCGGAAGCCUGAUGCAGCGACGCCGCGUGGGGGAUGACGGCCUUCGGGUUGUAAACUCCUUUCACCAUCGACGAAGGGUUUCUGACGGUAGAUGGAGAAGAAGCACCGGCUAACUACGUG